rnacentral:lncRNA from 1 species
CACAGAAUUGGAUUCUGAAGUAGCGAUGGAGGUGAAGAUUGUGUGCUUUUAUGCAAGAUUACUACUAGUAGAUGGUAUAUUGUUUUUGCUUCAGAUUUAGGAGUGUUUGAUCGGCUACAUAGUGAAUUUGUUCAGUCUCAAAUUUUCAGUGUUAUUACUAGCAUAUUCUCCAAUUCUUGGUAUUAUUCAACAUCAGCUCUGUCUCAAUUCUUUAUCACAUCUCAUAUUGAUGUGUGGAUCAUUUAAUUGCCUAAAAUGGUCUUGCCUUUUGAGUGUUUUUAUUUUACAUUGCAUGCAAAAGGAAGUUUAUUGAGAGAAAUUAGCUUUAAUUGAUGAAGAAAGUAUGCCUCUAGUAUUACUUUUUUCAUGUUUUAUUAACUAUGAACUACAUUGUACUGUAUGGAAUCAUCUAUUUUGAUAUACAAGCCCUGUCACACGCAUAUAAACUUGAUUUUGUUGUUGUACUUGAUGAAUAUGGAAUGAUGUGUCCUUCCUUUGUUCCUACUAUUAUAACUUUUUGGAUUCAUUUGGGAGCUAGCUUUUAUAACUUACUACAAUUUUGUAUGUGUUUUUAUUCUAUGUAGGUUUGGCAGUUAAUCCGUGUUAUUGGAGAUUGAAGAAUAUUAACAAGAAUUAUUUGUGUCCGACUAGCUGCCUUGAAGCAGUGGUGUAGUGUUGGAGAUUAAAAUGAGCUAGUAGUACAUUUUCUUUGAGGUCAUGUUACUUGAUUUUUGUAAAAAAAAUGCAUAUAGCGCUUUCUAGAUAUGAUUGUGAUGUUUUGAUAAUAAGCUUUGUUUUUCUAAUCAGACAAGAUUGUUGGAACUUUGUAUUGGCAUGUGAACAAUUGCUAUUUUUUGAAUGAAUAUGAUUUGGUUGUC